CAGCCGCCGCGGUAAUACGGAGGGUGCGAGCGUUAAUCGGAAUUACUGGGCGUAAAGGGUACGUAGGCGGCUUGAUAAGUCAGAUGUGAAAUCCCCGGGCUUAACCUGGGAACUGCAUUUGAAACUGUCUGGCUAGAGUGAGUGAGAGGUUAGUGGAAUUCAAGGCGUAGCGGUGAAAUGCGUAGAGGUCUGGAGGAACAUCAGUGGCGAAGGCGACUAACUGGCACUACACUGACGCUGAGGUACGAAAGCGUGGGGAGCGAACAGGAUUAGAUACCCUGGUAGUCCACGCCCUAAACGAUGAGGACUGGCUGUCAGUGCUAUAGAACGCAUUGGUAGCGAAGCUAACGCGUUAAGUUCUCCGCCUGGGGAGUACGACCGCAAGGUUGAAACUCAAAGGAAUUGACGGGGGCCCGCACAAGCGGUGGAGCAUGUGGUUUAAUUCGAUGCAACGCGAAGAACCUUACCAUCCCUUGACAUCCUCAGAAUGAUCUGGUAAUCGAUCAGUGCCUUCGGGAACUGAGUGACAGGUGCUGCACGGCUGUCGUCAGCUCGUGUCGUGAGAUGUUGGGUUAAGUCCCGCAACGAGCGCAACCCCUAUCUAUAGUUGCCAGCACGUAAUGGUGGGAACUCUAUAGAGACUGCCGGUGAUAAGCCGGAGGAAGGUGGGGACGACGUCAAGUCAUCAUGGCCCUUACGGGAUGGGCUACACACGUGCUACAAUGGUGUAUACAGAGGGUUGCCAACCAGCGAUGGGGAGCUAAUUUCAGAAAGUACAUCUUAGUCCGGAUUGCAGUCUGCAACUCGACUGCAUGAAGUCGGAAUCGCUAGUAAUCGCGAAUCAGCAACGUCGCGGUGAAUACGUUCCCGGGCCUUGUACACACCGCCCGUCACACCAUGGGAGUGGGUUGCUCCAGAAGUGGCUAGUCUAACCUUCGGGAAGACGGUCACCACGGAGUGAUUCAUGACUGGGGUGAAGUCGUAACAAGGUAACCGUA
rnacentral:rRNA from 1 species